GACGAACGCUGGCGGCGUGCUUAACACAUGCAAGUCGAACGGAAAGGCCCUGCUUUUGUGGGGUGCUCGAGUGGCGAACGGGUGAGUAACACGUGAGUAACCUGCCCUUGACUUUGGGAUAACUUCAGGAAACUGGGGCUAAUACCGGAUAGGAGCUCCUGCUGCAUGGUGGGGGUUGGAAAGUUUCGGCGGUUGGGGAUGGACUCGCGGCUUAUCAGCUUGUUGGUGGGGUAGUGGCUUACCAAGGCUUUGACGGGUAGCCGGCCUGAGAGGGUGACCGGCCACAUUGGGACUGAGGUACGGCCCAGACUCCUACGGGAGGCAUCGGUGGGGAAUAUUGCACAAUGGGCGGAAGCCUGAUGCAGCAACGCCGCGUGGGGGAUGACGGCCUUCGGGUUGUAAACCGCUUUCGCCUGUGACGAAGCGUGAGUGACGGUAAUGGGUAAAGAAGCACCGGCUAACUACGU
rnacentral:rRNA from 1 species